CUCCAACACCCAUUAAAGUCAAUGGAAAGAUUUUCCAUGGGAUGGGUCCAGGGUGCAUCUAGGAUUAUGAAAGUUUUGAUGUCUCUGGGAUGCCUUCUUGCACAUUCAAGUUAUCCCCGCUUGAAAGGAGAACAGAUUUUUCUCACUGGGGCUAGGUUUUAUUCUUAUCCAGCUGGCAAAAGGAGUAAGGUGCCCAGGGCAGCUGGCAGAGAGGUAAAUCACUGUGGAGCAGGGAGCAGGACUGGAGAAGACCUGGCUGGUGGCUCCUAACCUGCGGUGGGCUCAGCUGCUAGUUCCGGCUGGUCUGGGGAGGACGGGACUUCCUCUUCCCCUACACCACAUCUGGGACCAGGUUCAUUGUUUCAUGGACUACACUCAGGAAAAUAGAGUGUAGGUUACUAAUGGUACCCCCUCGACCCAGGUUCAUCACUCAGUGACAAUAACAUUCUAUUUGUCCUGGGAAGGAAUUUGCAUUCAAACAACAUCCUGUGCUUCAAAGGGAGUGAAAUGGAAUACAAGUGCCCUACCUAUGGAAACCACACUGGUAUUGGGUAAAUGCCUGUGAACCUUAUCUCCCGGGUACAAAGCAGCUGGAUUUCUAUACAUUAUACUUAAGGAAAACUCUACAUUUUCUGCUUGUUCAGGAUGUCUGCAAAUUCCAAAGGGCCAGCUCCAGCUUUUUUGCUGCCCCAAGCGGCGAGGG